rnacentral:rRNA from 1 species
UACAGAGGUUUCAAGCGUUGUUCGGAUUCAUUGGGCGUAAAGCGCACGUAGGCGGCUUGGCAAGUCGGAUGUGAAAUCCCUCGGCUCAACCAAGGAAGUGCAUCCGAAACUGCUAAGCUUGAGUACUUAAGAGGAUCGCGGAAUUCCCGGUGUAGAGGUGAAAUUCGUAGAUAUCGGGAGGAACACCAGUGGCGAAGGCGGCGAUCUGGGAAGAUACUGACGCUGAGGCGCGAAAGCUAGGGGAGCAAACGGG